CACAAUGGUCAAUGAGGAUAACAUUUUCUUCAAGUUGAGGACACCAACGGAUGUCUGAAUGGGAGAGCGACAUUAUCCUUUGAGACCAUUUCAAAUUCUGCUCGUUCUUCAAGACUGAUUGAGGAAGGUGCGAAAUAAACCACCUAGAUAAUAAAGGUAUGCAGCACAUGAGAGUCCCUUGCCUUUUCAUAGUACGAGUGUG
rnacentral:lncRNA from 1 species